AAACUGAAGAGUUUGAUCCUGGCUCAGAUUGAACGCUGGCGGCAUGCCUUACACAUGCAAGUCGAACGGCAGCACGGGAGCAAUCCUGGUGGCGAGUGGCGAACGGGUGAGUAAUAUAUCGGAACGUGCCUUAUAGUGGGGGAUAACGCAGCGAAAGCUGUGCUAAUACCGCAUACGCCCUGAGGGGGAAAGCGGGGGAUCGAAAGACCUCGCGCGAUUAGAGCGGCCGAUGCCUGAUUAGCUUGUUGGUGGGGUAAAAGCCCACCAAGGCGACGAUCAGUAGCUGGUCUGAGAGGACGAUCAGCCACACUGGGACUGAGACACGGCCCAGACU
rnacentral:rRNA from 1 species